UGGCCCUAGCGAGGGCCAUGCGGUAUCUAAGAUCUUGGUAAGAUGGGCCACAAGGCCGCAGGGUACAGCAGGACACGUAUCAAUUGCCAAUCUGGCAUAACAAGCAAGACAAAUGUUCAAGACAGCAUUCCCUACAACUUUGGUAAAUUGGCAAUCAAGUAAUCGCGAUUACCCCCACUGUUUUGUUGUUUGCGAGCUAAAUGUACUUAAAAUUGUUGGUCAC
rnacentral:lncRNA from 1 species